AUUCUGAAAAACGUCUGAAAUCAAAUCUGAGUGCACUCUCCAUUAAUGUUACACAUGGCCAUGUAAUUUUUGACACUGAGCUUCCUUUUCAUUGACAGACUUAAAUUGUACUGUGAUGAUGAUUUCCUCCACUUAAGAACAAAAUUCUUAUAUUUACAAACCCUGAAAAAGGUGAUCCAUCCUUUAAAUCACUCAUGUAACUCCAGUAAUAAAAGAAUAAACAAAAGCCUUCCCACCUCCAGCUGGUAGAAAAUGCUGCUACCAGUCUGUUAACCAGGAGGAAGAAAAUACAGAUCUAAGAGGAGAGGGAGAGAUUCAGGGAGGAGCUAAGCUGUUACUGAACUAUAGAAGAGAGAGGAACUUCCAUAUUCAGCAGAGUUCAAUACACAAACCAGAAACAUUACCUUUAUUCAACAUGCUGUCACUGCACACAACUUUCUCUACUAUUACUCUACUGUACAUCAUAACAGGUGUCAGCUGUGAAGAACUCACUCCAGUAAAGGAUGAAGAGUCCAGUUUAGAAGAGAGCACUGUUACUCUGUCCUACACAUACAACAAACAAGCAACUGGUAGUGAUUAUUUCUUCUGGUAUCGACAAUAUCCAGGAAAACCACCAGAGUUCCUCAUCUCACACUCUGGUUCAGGAAAUGUAGUAAAUGAACAAAUCCCUGGACUGAAGAUUAAAGUGGAGCAAAACCAAAUAGAUAUGAACAUCUCCUCUGCUGCAGUGACAGACUCUGCUGUGUACUACUGUGCUGUGAGGCCCACAGUGACAGGAAACACCAAAACUCUGUACAAAAACCUGACAGCUCCUCACUGAAGAUUUACACACUCCAGCUUCUGCUUUUACUGAACAACAGCCCCAUCAAGUGGACACUGAUAAUAAGAUCCAGUGAUAAAAUAAAUAGUUAUUCAGUUAACAGUCUGUCUUAAAACAACAUUCACAUGUUCAUAUGUACAUUAAAACAUGAUUCUUUCUGUAAUCAUUCCUCCUGUUCA